rnacentral:lncRNA from 1 species
CUCGGCUUUGCCCCAGUCCUCUCGCCCUGCACUUUGGUGCUGCUGCUCGUGGCCAUCUCGGUGGGUGAGUUUGUCCCCUUGAAGAUCUGAUCUUACCUACUGCAGGGUUAGUAGAUUGGUCGGUGGAACAUUUGUAUUCUUUCAAAAUUUGUUGGUGAUGUCAGUCUUUAUCUGCUUAGUUAUUUCUACGUACAUGUGUACUAGAUAGGUUCUGGGUAUAUGUGCACUAGAUAUAUUCUGUUUCUUUGUACUCUGGAAUUGGAAGAUAUGUUGUAUUAGCAAAUGCAAGUCUGUAUGUCAUGGUCCUGUCAUCGAUCUGCAGGCAUAAGUCCUUGUCAUGUUGUUUGUCCAUGUGUCCUAUAUAUCCACUCUUCUUCCUUGCAUAUGAGGAGGGUUUUGUCAAUAUGAAUUUCAUGUCUGGCUCUGCUUGGAUUUAGAUUGGCCUGGUAUUGGAUUUAGAUUGUUUUGCGUGCAUUAAUUGGCAUGUUAUUGGAUUUGAGUGCAUUGAAUUUGCCUUGAUAUUAUAUUCAUAUUGUUUGAGUACACAUUGCCCUGGUGAUUAGAUUCAGAUCUCAUGUAUAUGUGUUGAGUAAUGUUACUGAUCCAAGGGAUGCUCUUAUGCAAUGGUCCUCAUGUGUUAGGCUGUAGUAUAUUGUCUGGUUAUCUUACUCAUGUAUGCUGGUUAUUUUAGUGCUUAAAUGGAUGGUGUGGCAAACUAUGCUUCAUAUGGCAUUUUCAUUGAAUUAAUGUGAUUGCACUAUUUCACAGUUCAGGAAUGGCUUUCUUGGAGAUUGGUGUUGCAGCAUUUCUACUUGAAGGAAAUGAAGCCAGUGGUCAUGAUCUCUUUGGCGCAGAACUUAAUUUGUUAUCUCUGAAGCUAUAGCAAGUAUUGAUGAACUGCUCAAGGUAUGUUACUGCUCGGUCUUUAUGAUGUAGCCAAAUUUUUUGUGAUUUUGUGAUGUACUUGCAUGCUUCAUUCUUAAUUCAGAUAUAUUGUGUUGCCGAUCCUUCCCUCGCUGGGCGUGCCCUAAGAUACACGACGUGCUCUUAAUUAAGAUAUAUUGUAUCGGAGUAUGAAUCUGUUGUGUGAGAAGCCUGUUUUUUUAGCAUCAGGGCAUACCAUUCAUUCAUUAAUUUGACAUAUAUGUUCUGUUCAGCAUGAUAAUGGUAGAUUUGGCAUGUGGAAACUCCAUGUCUGCGUAGAUAUUUUUUUAGCACGAACUGACAGUAGGCCUCGCUUUCUGACUUUAUAUUAUCACCAAAAUGUAUACAAGAUUUUUACAUGGUGGUUUCCAAGCUGGUGUCUCCUAGUCUCUAAACUAGCCCAGGAGGUUGGCAAUAGUCAACGAGACACAGGGAGGAUAAGCUAAUUGCUAGGUUACAGGGUUGGAGAAUCUCUCCACAAAAUGGACUAGAGGGUUAACCCUGUGAGCUACUAGUGCAAAGUCCUUGAAUCUUUCUCUCUCCAUGCUUCAUGGGAGUUGGGGGGGGGGGNNNNNNNNNNNNNNNNNNNNNNNNNNNNNNNNNNNNNNNNNNNNNNNNGGGUAUCCUUUUGAAUAUUUUCCCGUUGCGCUCUUUCUAGAUGCUCCAUGCCGACGUUAUAAAUAUUUCCAUGAACAUUUGGCCAGUCCACCCCCUUUUUCCCAUGUGAAGUAGGUGUAGCCCUGAACUUUUCAGUAUCUUUUAUGAUAUUGGGGGAGCUAAACCGAACACCCAGUUUUUCCCAUCAUCUUUUAUUGAAGGCGCAAGUGAAGAAUAAAUGUUCUACUAUUUCAUCAUCUCCACUCCCACAUAAGACACAACAAGCAUCACUCUUUAUGUUGAAAUGCUGCGUAGAUGUUUCAGGCAAUUAAUUUGCUCAUGUUGAAGGCAUCGUACAUUCUUGUACCUGACGGUGUGCGUGGCAAUAUGAAAUGUUUAAUACUCCCUUUGAUCCAAAUUAAUUGAUGCUAGUUUAGUAAAAAAGUUAGUAAAACUUUGUAUUAGACCAGCGUCAAUUAAUAUGUAUCGGAGGGGGAGUAGUUGAUUUCUUCACAUUCAACAGGAUUGGAGUGCACAUGGAGCUCUACUUGUGGAAUAUAUGCUCUCCGCUUUCCUUUUCCACAACUAUUCACAAUUCAAGUCUUUCUGCUAUGGUAGUACACGCCGGUGAUAUUAUUUAAGAAUUGUACUGUGCAUCAAACAUAACUAUAAAUUUGUUGAUCUGACGUAUUUGUAGCAACAAAAAUGCUUAUGAUUCCUUGAGUAGUCUGUGUGAUGUAGUGCGUGUGCGCUUUAGGGAUCAGGGAUCCCAUAACCUGAUAUGACAACCAUUGCAAAUUCUUAUCCAUAUUUAUUUAUGAGUAACAAAAAUCACUUGCCUGUUGUUGGUUUUGGAACCCCAGUGUGUUCCAACACCUCUGCACCAUGUUUAUCAACACUGUGACAAUAGUAUCCCUAGUGCUAGAAUGCAUGGAUACUUCAUGGAAUCCGCGUAUCCUUAUUGGAUCCAUUUUAAAAUUGUUUGAAUGAAAUAUAGAAGAACCAAAUAAUUCACAUUUUGUUCUUGAACUCAUUGCAGGUGCAUCUCUCUAGCUUUUUAAACAAUUGAUUGGUAAAAGGUAAAAGGACUAAGAUUCACGCAGCUACGCCGCAGGUAAUUUUCCAUCUUCCACAUGGAAAGUAUUUCUUCUAUUGAUCAUGAUAUUCAAUGGAGCUUGGAGCAUGGUAAUUAAUAUGUAUCAUUUUAUAUCUAACUUGACUUUUCCAUGGAGUAAUCCAACCAAAGGUUUUAACUAAAAAGUGAUUGUGAUGGCUCUACAUGUAUCCACAUAAAUAUUAACAAAAUAAAAAUUAUCACAUUAAUUAAAAAGGAUUAAUCUCAAGAUUCAUGAUGUAGUCCAUCAAGACUAUAUGUCGUUCGUAUAACAUGUUCCUGUAACAUGUUCCUAUAACAAAAGUAUUUGAUGUAACAUGAUAAUUGUAGUUUAGAGACCAUGGUUUGUUCGUAUAGAAACCUGAGCUUGCUUGCUUCUACAAUUAACUUUCAAGAUGUAAUUGUCCAUUAGUGAGCAUGGUCAUUGGAAAAUGUCUUUCUACUUAUAAACUAACUGAAGAAUAUUAUAUUUCUUUAGAAAUAAAAUGAAGAAUAGUUAAUAUGUGAAACAAGAGCUUGGACAUGUUAAUUUUUUAGGAUGUCUUAACGUUUGUGAAUGCGCAGGCAAUGUCGACCAUGGGUUGAGGCUAGACUUUGCUGGAUAAGGUUCUCCCUUAGAUGAUGACAGCAUGGAUGGCCGGAUCUUUGUCGAGUGAGCACUAUGGAUGGUCGAAUAUGCAUCCAGCGAGCGCCAAGUCGGGUGGUGGUGGCUGCAGAAUUAGCAUAGGGGUUUGUAGAUUUUAGUUUCUUGUGUUUUGCUAGUCCAUACAGAUGAAUUAUUUGGAAAUAUAUGUAAUUUUAAGGUUUUGUGUAAAAAAAACCUGCUUAUGUUUAUGAUUUUUUCUUUUGGUUAAUGACAUGAGUUUAUAUUUUUGAGAAAAUAGAAUUUCCAUGGGCCAUGAGAAAUGAGAUGGGCUAG